UAGAUACCCUGGUAGUCCGCACAGUAAACGCUGGAUGCCCGUUGUUAGUUCACCUAAGAAUUAGCGACCAAGCGAAAGCAUUAAGCAUCCCACCUGGGGAGUACGCCGGCAACGGUGAAACUCAAAGGAAUUGACGGGGGCCCGCACAAGCGGAGGAACAUGUGGUUUAAUUCGAUGAUACGCGAGGAACCUUACCCGGGCUUAAAUUGCAGAUGAACGAUUCAGAGAUGAAGCGGCCCUUCGGGGCAUC
rnacentral:rRNA from 1 species